GAGGAGUGAUGAAGCUCGAGAUGGUUUCGCAAUUUUCACUGAUGUACUUGUGAUGUCAUCAUCUUCUUGGCUUUCUGACCUC
rnacentral:snoRNA from 1 species